rnacentral:rRNA from 1 species
GACGAACGCUGGCGGCGUGCUUAACACAUGCAAGUCGAGCGGUAAGGCCCUUUCGGGGGUACACGAGCGGCGAACGGGUGAGUAACACGUGGGUGACCUGCCUUUAGCUCUGGGAUAAGCCUGGGAAACUGGGUCUAAUACCGGAUAUGACCCUAUGGCGCAUGUUGUGGGGUGGAAAGCCUUGUGCGGCUAGGGAUGGGCCCGCGGCCUAUCAGCUUGUUGGUGGGGUGAUGGCCUACCAAGGCGACGACGGGUAGCCGGCCUGAGAGGGCGACCGGCCACACUGGGACUGAGACACGGCCCAGACUCCUACGGGAGGCAGCAGUGGGGAAUCUUGCGCAAUGGGCGAAAGCCUGACGCAGCGACGCCGCGUGAGGGAUGACGGCC